rnacentral:rRNA from 1 species
UUAGUUACCAGCACGUUAUGGUGGGCACUUUAAGGAGACUGCCGGUGACAAACCGGAGGAAGGUGGGGAUGACGUCAAGUCAUCAUGGCCCUUACGGCCUGGGUUACACACGU